GCCUAGAGCCAUGCCACCUUGAACACGCCAGAUCUUGUCUGAUCUCGGAAGCUAAGCAGGGUUGGGCCUGGUUAGUACUUGGAUGGGAAACCUAGGAAUACCAGGUGCUAUAGGCG
rnacentral:rRNA from 1 species